rnacentral:lncRNA from 1 species
GGCUUCGUUUGGUUGAAAUUUGAAUAGUCAGUUAUGUCUUAAUAGCACAGCUGAAACAAAACAAACUGUUAAUCUAGCUUCAAUAUUAGACCAGAACUAUGUAGAAUUUAUUCAUAAGAAAACAUACUGAACAGGUGCCAUACUAUUUAUGUGAUAAUGACCUUUAACCAAGCGAGCUGGCCAUAAGAGAUUCACUGGAGGAACCAUUAACAUGAGGAGGACUGAUACUACGAAAAAGGUUGAACC